AACCUCUAUCGGCCAAUCCCCACUACCAACCAACUCAUCUAUCACAACUAGCACCACACUAACUACCACUAAUACAUCACAACCUCUACACAUUCUUUGGUCGCCACCACCAUUGUCAUUAAUAACGCCACCUUUACCACCACUUUAAUCAGUACCACCGCUACAAUUUAUCUCUACUAACAAUCAUCUCCACCAUCACAACAAAUAACAUCUUCAACUAGCAC
rnacentral:lncRNA from 1 species